rnacentral:snRNA from 1 species
AGCUUUGAACAGUGGCAGUACUAUAGUCAGUGAGGUUUAGCUGAGGCAUGAUUAUUACUAAAAAAAUAAUCUGUGGGUAUAUCUGUUGAUUUCUGUAUCUGAGAUUGUACAAAACAAGUGGUCACUCCACUACUCUCCGUGGUG